rnacentral:rRNA from 1 species
UACGUAGGGUGCAAGCGUUAAUCGGAAUUACUGGGCGUAAAGCGUGCGCAGGCGGCUUUGCAAGACAGAUGUGAAAUCCCCGGGCUUAACCUGGGAACUGCAUUUGUGACUGCAUGGCUAGAGUGCGGCAGAGGGGGAUGGAAUUCCGCGUGUAGCAGUGAAAUGCGUAGAUAUGCGGAGGAACACCGAUGGCGAAGGCAAUCCCCUGGACCUGUACUGACGCUCAUGCACGAAAGCGUGGGGAGCAAACAGG